GGGGCCUGGACUGGAUGCGUGACCUCCAGUCCCUCCCGAAGCCUCCCCACCAGAUGUUAAUUCAGCCGUCAUUUAGUUGCAGAGAGGAGAGAGGUGGAGAUGGAGGGUCAAUCUAGGCCAACUUCCUGGAGGAGGGGAGCUUGCUGUGGGCUUCUCACAAUGAACAAAACCAAGCUAUUGACAGCUCUGUUUAUGGAGAUCUCAGGAAGAAAAGUUUGGGAGAAUAACCUAGACCAGCUGUAAAACCCCAAACCCAAAAGGGCUGGUAUCUAGAACCACACUCUUGGGUUCUGCUCUUUGCCCUGAUGCUGACUAAGUGACCCAAGGCAGGUGGCCUUCCUUUCCAUCAUAAGGGUGCUGGCCUUGUCUAAAAUGACCUUCAACUCUGGCAAGCCCGGCCCCCCGGGAGACGCAUGAUGGGGCCGUUGAGGCUGGUGGCCAAGUGGAAUUAGGCCGUGGAUGGAGGGGUGUGCUGAUGAAGAAACAAACCAGGAGAGGGGACCAGCAGAACCUGACCCACACGCCUCCCCCAGAGGGUGCGGGCCUCUGCCUGGGCUGAGCAACCGUCUUCCACUCC